UUACAUUACAAAAAGGUCUAUGAAAUUCUGAGUAAGGCAUAAUCAUUGGGGUUGGUAGGCAGGCUAGCUAGCUAUUUGUUCGUAGAACCAUUAUGUCGUUUUGCUUAGGAAAAUGACAGUACCUUAACAAGUGGGAAUUAUAGUUUUGCUAGAAUUUCUCAGUUGCAAAUGUAUUAACUUCUGACAAAAAUUGGUUACAAUUACAUACACUUUUGUCCAUUGCUCUCCUUUUCUCUGUUCCAUGUCCGCUUGUAUGUUUUCUUGAUAUCUAUAGGAUUAUUGUUAAAAAAAAACUAGUAGGUAAAUUUCAUAGCCUAUGAUUUGCUUAAUUCUGUGAUAGUAACCGGUGAAAUUAUAGUUUUCGGGUUUGGAGUCGGGUUAUGGUUACCUGUAACCUGGUCAGGUUUCAGGUGUCCAAAAUCCAUGCCCGUCACAUUUAUGGUUGGGUAUGGAUAAUAAUUUUAGGUUCGGGUUUAGGCAUGGAUAGCACCAAACCUGACUUCUAUAUACUCAUUGUCAUCCCUAAUUUUGAGUUUAUAUCACAUGGUUUAGCCACCCUUAACCGCUGGUCGAGUUUCGCUGCUAUUUGUUUGUAUGCACAGAAUUUUCCUUCUACUAUUAUAUUAUAUUUAUUGUUGAAUAAUUAUGUCAUAAUAUGGUAUUAUGUGAUUUUGUACAUCCAAUUAACGUCAUUGGUAUGGUAUUGAUUAAAAUGCGUGGUUAAUGAUUUUGUACUUCCAACAUUUAAUGUUGAUGGUGUGAUGGAUUAUAGUUCCUUUGCAUUUAAUUUUUCCAGCUUGCUGUGAAGAGAGAGUAAGAUGGGGAGGAGGAUAUUGAACGAUGCCUUGAGGGCAAUAGUGAAUGCAGAGAGGAGAAGUAAAUCUACUGUGGAGUUACAGCCCAUUUCUACUGUCACGUCUUCUUUUCUUAAGAUCAUGAAAGACAGGGGAUAUAUAAAAAACUUUCAUGUUUAUGAUCCACACAGAGUGGGAAGGAUAACUGUUGAAUUACAAGGCAGGGUUACUGAUUGUCGAGCUCUCACUUACAGGCAAGACAUUAAGGCAAAGGAUAUAGAAGCUUACAGAUUGCGGAACCUUCCUACACGGCAGUGGGGUUAUGUUGUGGUCACAACUCCGGAUGGUAUAUUGGAUCAUGAAGAGGCUAUCAGUCGGAAUGUGGGAGGUCAGGUUCUUGGUUAUUUUCAUUAGAUGUGUCAUCUUUUCAGAUUGUGAGAACUUGGAAUCUCAAAAGGACCAUGAUGGUUCUUGUUUUCUUUUCUUUUUUUGAAGGGUAAAUUAACUUUCAAUUGAAGCCCGCAUCUCCUCUCUCUUUUAAGUGAAAUGAGUUUACUUUAGCUGUAUCAAAAGUAACAAUCAAUGGCUCCUUUAUCAUGUAGUCAAGUUCAGACUUUGCGACGCCUAGAUGAUAUCAUGGAUGUGGCAAAACAUGUUGCUUGAGAGGUUCAGUAAGAUCGAUCCAUGAAACACGAAGGAAAUUAGCUUACCAUGUGUACCUGUUGCAUACUUGAAGCAUUUUGAUUUUGAUUGCCAUUGGGAGCUCUUCAGGCUGAUUGUGCAAAGUAUGGGUAGUUUUCUCGUUUCUUAAAUUCCUCCUGUUUCAGGUCUCAGGUAAAAUCCUAUUUGUUGUGGCUUGGGAGUUGGGACCAUGGGAAUUAGCACUCUCAUAACUAAUGCGUUUUGCAGCAAGUCAAUUAAUUUUUGGUAGAAUAUCAAUAUUUUCUUGUGCAAACGACGUCAUUGAAGGAAAAAAGGCCCUUUGCUUUAUUUUAUUUUCUUUUUGAAUAAAUGAAAUGUUUUGAUUUUUUUUUCUUUUAAGAGCAUUAACAUCAUCUGAUGUUUUUUUUUCUUUUUUUUGAAGAAAGAAAUAUGUCAUUUACCUGUGUGAAUACUGAAAAGCAAUUAUUCCAGCACUUGAAAGCAUGGUUAUUAAAUCUGGUGACUCGGAUUAAUUUGAAAAGAUUUAAAAAUAUAUUUAAGAUUUUAAUAUUUUAUAUGAAAAAAUUAAAGAUAUUUUGCAUAGAUGUAAGUUAUAAAUAUAGUUCUUCAAUAAAAAAAAUAAGAAAUAAUAUGUAAAUAAAGGAUAUAUAUAUAUAUAAAAAAUAUUAUUCUACCUCGCUAGCAGAUAAAAAUUUUGUGCAGAGAAAAGUAAAAUAGUAAUUACACCAUGCAAGUUCACAAUAUAUAGUGAAACAAUGAUCUCUUCCGGAGUUUUUCAUUAUACUCAAAUUCAUUUUAACUCAUUUUUCGUGUUUUAUUUUUAAUCAAUCGGAAAUUACCCAACUGGCUCUUUUUUGUCUAAUUUUAAAAAUAAAAAUGCUAGUUUCUCUUAAAAAAGGUGUGUUUUUGUGCAUAAAAUAAAGGAAUUGGAAAUGGAUGAAGGGACUCGAUUAAAAAAAGUACGGUACCUGUGGACCUAACUUGGAAAUAUUUCUGUGCUGGUAAAUGAGAAUUGGUGGAUGGCUCGCUGCUGAGAUAACGUGGAAAAUGUUGUUUGGUUUGGCAAUUUCACUUGCGCCGGAUGGAUGCCGACCCCGCUUGAAUGGACAGUAAAGUUUAUGGAUAUUUCGUGCUUGGUUCAGUUAACUGUGUGGUUGGUAUUUAGUAUUUUUUUAUAUGAUUAUAGUUUAAAAAUUAAACAUAUAUUUGAGAUUCCAAUAAAUAUUAUGUUUUAAAGUAUUUUUUAUUUAAAAAUAAUAUUUUUUUUAUUUUUUUACCAGCAUAUCAAAAUAAUAAAAAAACUAAAAAAUUUAAUUUUAAACAAAAAAAUUUAAAUUUUUAGCGAAUAAUGUUUUUACCAUAAUACCAAACAUGCAAAAUCUUUUUAAAAAUUAUAAGUUAUAGUUUUUUUCUUAAAUAAAAUUCUAAUAAAGAGUUUCUAGCAUAAUCAUAUAAAAUCAUAAUAUAUAUUAAUUAAUUAAAUAUUUUUAAAUAUGUCACAGGGUAAAAUGCACGCAGCACAUAAACAAAUUUAGCCUAAAAUUUGAAGGUAAGAAGGUGGGUAUGGAUACUACAUUAUCUUUACCAAAACAUUACUCAAAAGUCAAUAAUGACCUUAAAGUUUAACAAAAUCACAUUUAUACCAACCUUAUAUAUUUUUAAAAAAUAAAUAACGACCCCAGGGUUUCUCCUCUUUCAACCGCCGAACACUUUCCAGCAGACAACACACGAAAAAAGAAGGGUUUUAGUCCAAUCCCCAUUGUCUUCUUUAUCUCCGGAUUUUCUCUCAAAAGAAGUCAGUUUCUCUUCUUAUCUCAAUAAUCACUCAUCCUGCAAAUAUUUAGUAAAUUUAUCUCAAUAAACAUUUAUCUCAUUUUUAUCUCUCUACGCCCCUCCGAUCUGUAUCUCCAAUAACUGUUAGAGAGAGAGCCUCUUCAGGUACAUCUCUUUCUGUCAAACUUUACGUAUUUUUGUCAUUAAGUUUAGGCUUAUGCUUAUUGAUUCCUUUUUUAUUGCUGAGAAAACUGAGAAACAGAAAGAAAGUUUUGAUUUUUUUACGGUGAAAAUGAAAUUGAAGCUAUCAAUCUUGCGACUUACAUCAGUUAUUAUUUUUGUUACUUCUCGUGACAGUUUAGAAUGGCUGUUGAAUCGGGAUCGGUAUAGCAUUUUCUAUCUUUAUCUGUAAAUUUAGUAACUGAAAUAGACUGUAAUUGUUGAUCCCAGUUUGCAAAAAAAAAGGUCUCUCUGUCGAUUUUUAUGUAAAUUUUAUCAGCCUGUUAAAUGAUUAUUUUCUGAUUUUAUUUCUGGGAGGCCAAGGAUAUGGCAGUGUUGGGAUUCCCUGGUUAAGAAUGGCUUCCUAUUGAUUUUUGGAGUACGCAUUUUAGAAACCAGAAGCUUUGCUUUCGACAGUCUUAGGUUUAUGAAUACUGUGAAAUGUGGAUAACUUUUUGAUGCUUUGUUAAAUUGUAGAUUUCUUUAUCAUAGGGAAAUAAGGAAUGAUUGAUAACUUUUAUAUUCCAGAAUUGAGCAAUACAUGUGUGAAAUCCCGGUACAUUAUAAAUACGAUGACCGAUGACCGUGGAACAUGAUUGUAAAGUCCCGAUAAAUCAAAUAAGAUGACUGGAAACAUGGUGAAAAAUUGAUAAGAAAGAUUUAAUAAAGAGGUAUUAAAUAAAAUAUUAGGAUACAUUGAAUGAAUAAUUAUGGAUGAUAAAAAUGAUUCCGGAAGUUAGCCUGAAGAUGUUGGAAAGGCCUAGGGUAAUUAAAUACAAUAAGACAAAAAUCAACUCAUUUAUUCUCUAAGAGGUGCCGGCCAGAACAGCCCAAAACAGCCCGCUCCCUUUGUUCUUCUUCACCAAAUCCGUUGCAUGUCCUUGCAAAACAAAAUGGUUGUGAGAUUGUAAAUUUGUGAGGAAGGAAGCUACACUAGAAAACAUUGAGAAAGAGAGAGAGGGACGGAUAGAGAAGAGUAAGGAAGAAAAAAAAAAUCAAAUGAGCUUGAAGAAGAAGGAGAAGAGGAAGAAGUUGUCUAGGAAGCCACAACUUAGGCUCAAAUUCGUUUGGUAAGAUGAUUUUCAUUGUUUAAAUUGUGUUCUUGGUAACAUUUGAUGGAGAUGAUGAAAAACCCCAAAUGUUAUAACCUUAGGGUUUGUAUGCAUGUUGAAAAUAGAGGUGUAAUGAAACAAACAUGUUAAAUGAACAUUGGAAGGACACAAAACUAAAGAAACUAAAGAAGAAAAUUGAAAGAAAUCAAGUGGAAAUUCCUAACCUAAGAACCGACCAGCCUUGAACAAAAAAGGGAGUGAGAGAUAUGAUUUGAAAGGGGAAAUGCUAAAUGUUUAACAAGCCUUGUGUAGGGUAAGUUGUGAUUAAAAAUGGAACUUUGGAUAAAUGGAAGGAUUGUGUGUUCUUGUAUACAUGAAAGGGUGUUCAUGGCAGGAAGGAACUUGUUGUAAACACAUCUUUAAAGCAUAGAACUAAUAUUUAGAAUGAAAAUAUGGGAAUGAUGUAAAAAGAUGAAGUAAUUGGAAUAAAAGAACUUGGAUGAAUGGGCAUAUUGGUGUUGGCCAGAUUUGGGAACAAAAAGGAGGGAUGGAAAUUUAGUUUAAAAUUAUAAUGCGAAGUGUUAACAAGUGGGUGAAUGGUGGUAAUGGUAUAGUGAUGUAAGUACAAUUAUUGCCAUUUAUCCUUAAUUAGAAGCAUCAAUGCAUUGCUAAAAUGGAUGGUAGAAUGGAGAGUAAGUGUAUGGACAAGUGUUAAUGAAUUAGAGGAAUUAGUGUGAAAUUUGUACAUGUACAUGUGAAAUUGAGGACAUCCAAAGAAAAACAAAUGGGGCCAUUCGACCAAGUUCAUAAGAUUAGGGGGGGGGAGAAGAAUAUAAAAAUGUUGUAAUGGAAUUAACAAGGAUGAAAAGAUAAGUUUUGGAAAAUAAGGAUUUUGAAGUAAAUGGGUUAAGUUAGCAUAAGAAGGGGAUAAACUAGAAGAAAUUAUGUUAAACAUUGAAAAAAACCAAGAGAAAACUCCUAACAUUAGGGAUGGACAGAUUUGGUUAAUAGGAGGAUUGUGCUUAAAGGUGCUAUAGGGAAUAUGGAAUGAAAAUACUUGGUUGAUUGUCAAAUCCAUAGAUUGAGAAGCUGGACAGUUUUGUCACCUGACUUCGAAAUGAGAUUAGAACUUGAAAAUGAUAGAAUCAGAAAUAAGUUUCUCGGAAGUUGUAGUUAGGGAUGUUAGUUUUCAAACGAAUCUGACCUUACUUAAUUUGGAGUUAUAAAACUCUAGAUAUGGAUUAAAAACUAAAGAAAAGUCAAACUGAAUCUUGCUGGACAGAUUUGUAUAAAGUGCGACAAUGGGUAAUUUUGAUUAUGUUAAUGGCGGAACUGGGUUUUUGUCCCUUCAGUAAAGUUGUAGUUUCAUAUCUUAGCUUUCAAAAAAGUCAAGCCACACCCAAACCCGAGGUCUAUAAUGUUAGUUAUGAAUAAAAUAUUGAACAUUGAUUAUGAGUGAUAACUGGUGUAGAACCUGUAAUGAGGAAAUUAGAUGAAGGAAACUAAACGGAAUCCUCAAUUAAUUCAUGGAAAUAAACUUAUGUGAAUGGAAUUCGCAAUGAUACGAGAGCUCACAUUAUAGUGAAGCUAUGAAAUGAUACUAAUAAUACCUCUUGAUUCAAAGCAUGAGAGGUGCCUGGAGCAGGAUCAUCUGUGAUAGGAGGAAACCAGUCAAUCAGAGAAGGAGGCAGGUGCAUUGCACCUCUGUCAAUUAAUUUUACCUAAAUCCUUGAUACUGAUUAUCGUUGCUUCAAUUACAGUAGGUGUCCAUAAUAAUAAGAAUAUGGGUACUGAAUAAUAUUUCAUUGACUAGUUUCCUGGUUUGGAAAUUAGUGGUGUUAGUGUGACUGGCGACCAGGAAUAAAAUUAUUGAAAUGAAAUUUAAUUUGACUAGUUUCCUGGUUUGGAAACUAGUGGCAUCAGUGUGGCUAAUGACCUGGAAUAAAUUUAUUGAAAUGAAAUUUAAUCUGACUCGUUUCCUUGUUUGGGAACUAGUGGUGUCAAUAUAUCCUCUUUGAAUGGAUGGCAGGAGAAAUAGAAAAGAAAGACAAUGGUCCAGUCAAAGAUUACUGGUUUUAUUUAAUCUCACCUUAAUUUAUCCAAAAAAAAAAAAGUUGCACGAAGGUUCUGGUUUUGUAAGAGUUUCUCGGUUGCAAAUGUAUUAGCUUUUGUCCACUGUUCUCCUUUUCUCUGCACUAUGUCCACUUGUAUGCUUUCUUGAUAUGUAUUGGAUUAUUGUUAAAAACAAACUAGUAGGUAAAUUUCAUAGCCUAUGAUUUGCUUAAUUCUGUGAUAGUAAGUGGUGAAAUUAUAGUUUUCGGGUUUAGAUUUGGGUCAGGUUGGAGUCGGGUUGAAUGAUUUUGUACAUCCAAUUAACAUCAUUAGUGUGGAAUUGAUUGAAAUGCGUCUUCAACAUUUGAUGUUGAUGGUGUGAUGGAUUACAGUUCCUUUGCAUUUGGUUUUCCAGCUUGCUGUGAAGAGAGAGAAAGAUGGGGAGGAGGAUAUUGAACGAUGCCUUGAGGGCAAUAGUGAACGCAGAGAGGAGAAGUAAAUCUACUGUGGAGUUACAGCCCAUUUCUACUGUCACGUCUUCUUUUCUUAAGAUCAUGAAAGACAGGGGAUAUAUAAAAAACUUUCAUGUUUAUGAUCCACACAGAGUGGGAAGGAUAACUGUUGAAUUACAAGGCAGGGUUACUGAUUGUCGAGCUCUCACUUACAGGCAAGACAUUAAGGCAAAGGAUAUAGAAGCUUACAGAUUGCGGAACCUUCCUACACGGCAGUGGGGUUAUGUUGUGGUCACAACUCCGGAUGGUAUAUUGGAUCAUGAAGAGGCUAUCAGUCGGAAUGUGGGAGGUCAGGUUCUUGGUUAUUUUCAUUAGAUGUGUCUUCUGUGUCAUCUUUUCAGAUUGUGAGAACUUGGAAGCUCAAAAGGACCAUGAUGGUUCUUGUUUUCUUUUCCUUUUUUGAAGGGUAAAUUAACUUUCAAUUGAAGCCCGCAUCUCCUCUCUCUUUUAAGUGAAAUGAGUUUACUUUAGCUGUAUCAAAAGUAACAGUCAAUGGCUCCUUUAUCAUAUAGUCAAAUUCAGACUUUGCGAAGCGUUGAUGAUAUCAUGGAUGUGGCAAAACAUGUUGCUUGAGAGGUUCAGUCAAGUAAAUUCCUCCUGUUUCAGGUCUCAGGUAAAAUCCUAUUUGUUGUGGCUUUGGACCAUGGGAAUUAGCACUCUCAUAACUGAUGCGUUUUGCAGCAAGUCAAUUAAAUUUCGGUAAAACAUCAAUAUUUUCUUGUGCAAACGACGUCAUUGAAGGGAAAAAAAAAAAGCCCUUUGCUUUUUUUUCUCUUCUUUUUGAAUAAAUGAAAUGUUGUUUUGAUUUUUUUUCUCUUAGGAGCAUAAACAUCAUCUUAUGUUUUUUUCUUUUUUAAAAAGAAAGAAAUAUAUCAUUUACCUAUGUCAAUACUGAAAAGCGAAUUAUACCAGUCCAAGUGUUCUACGCUGUGGGUCUGAUUUCAAAGAACUAAUCUUGUAAAAUAUUGCGCACAUAACGUGUUGCAUCGUCUCAUUUCAACAAAAGAUAAGAUUAGUUUGGAUUAUAUUAUUGUCCUUCACGAUGCUAUUGUUCUAAGAAAGAAUUUUUAAAAUAUAAAAGAACAUCCAAGUGUGUUUAUUUAUUUGUUGUUAGAAAUAUUUUUUAAAUUGUGUGGGGGUUAAUUUCCUUGUGACCGGGCAGCUUGUUGAGUUUAAAGACAAAUCACGACAAAUCGAAUAACAGAAAAAAAAUAAAAUAUAAUUUGACUAAAAUAAUUUAAAAUAAUAUUUUUAAAAAAUAUAUAAUUUUAAUAUAUGUCUAAAAAUAUAUAAUUUUAAAACGGAAACACCCGUUAAUACUAUAUAUCUCAAAACAAGAAUGAAAGCAAGACAAUUAUUUCUUGUUGCUGACAUGGGAAAAUGUUAUUGGAUAACAAACUUCACCAUACGUGGCCCUCUAAAGGAAAUACGUAAACAACUUCAUGACUGGUGGCGUUGCUUUUUUUAUUUCUGAAGUACCAAAUUAAUUACUUCGAGCGUAUCCAUAAGGGCCCGUCACUUAUUACAUCACAACAAUCAAAUAAUAACAAGCCACGUAUUCACAAAGUAUUCCCUUCCACAUAAACGCCUAAUUUCAUUGUCUGCCAAUAAAAGUUUACGUGGCAGGCAUGUAGGAUGAUUGAUGGCAGUGAUUUUACCAAGCAUUUUUUACCCGUCUCUCGUUUGACUCCACAUUGACCUGCCUCUUUUGGUAAAACCCUAUCUCUCUCUCUAUUUCUUUCUGCAAAUAUUAAAAAAAUCUCAUUUUCAUCUCUCCCCCUCUCUAUGCCCCCCCGAUCUGUAUCUCUAGUAACCGUUAGAGAGAGAGCCUCUUCAGGUGCAUCUCUUUCUGUCAAACUAUACGUGUUUUUGUCUUUAAAUUUGGGCUUAUGAUUAUUGAUUCCUUUUCGGUUGCUGAGAAAAUCGAGGAACAGAAAGAAAGUUUUGAUUUUUUACGGAGAAAAUGGAAUUGAAGCUAUAAAUCUUGGGAUUUACCCCAGUUAUUCUUUUUCUGCUUAUCGUGAUAGUUUAACAUGACAUUUGAACCGGGAUCAGUAUAGCAUUUUCUAUCUUUAUCUGUGAAUUUAGUAACUGAAAUAGAGUAUAAUUGUUGAUCCCAAUUUGAAAAAAAUAGGUCUCUCUGUCGACUUUUAUUUAAAUUUUAUCAGCCUAUUAAAUGGUUGUUUUCUGAUUUUUAUUUUUCUUGACUUAAAUUGCAGGGUUUUUUUUAUGGUAAAGAGGCAAUAGGUUCUCAAUUGAUCGUUGAAGUGUAGUAGAUUAGCUUAAUAAUCUUUCUCCAAAGUGCUUGGUUAGAAUACGAACAUGAAGAACUGUGAACGAGUUGCAAAUUUGGCUUUAGCAGGUAUUGUCUUUUUUCUUACUUUGACAAACUUGACAGUAAUGUGUUGCUCAUUGUAGAUUGCCUUCCUUAGUCAAUUCCCAUCUUUAAUAUUAAAUGUGUGCCUUAUUGUCCCGGGGACGCUUCGUAACUUUUGAGUUUGGAUGUCAGAAAUACUUGUAGUAUGGUGGGAAAUGUAGGGUUGACUCUGAUGUUCACUGAUGUGUAUAAAGAACAGGAGUGCUACUUUCUCUGAAGCAUUGGCCUAAGAAAAAGAGAAGGGGUUUCUGAACAUGAUAGCUCUUUGUUUCAAGAAUCUGAUGCAUGUGGUAGCACCUUUUGUUUGUUACGUUUUGGAAAUUUGACUCGAUGUUGGUCCCAUGUGUCUGAUCUUCAAUGCAGGUUUAACAUUGGCACCACUCUUUGUGAAAGUAGAUCCCAACUUAAAUGUGAUCUUGACUGCAUGCCUGACAGUUUAUGUUGGCUGCUAUCGAUCUGUCAAGCCUACGCCACCUUCAGUAAGUAUAACAAGCAUUAUCAUUUAUACAUUUCUCCUCUGUAUUUCCUGUUCAGCUGAUCCAGAUUGUGUUUGUCUGAAAUUCUUCGUGUUUAAUCUUGCAGGAAACCAUGUCUAAUGAACAUGCAAUGCGCUUUCCCUUUGUCGGGAGUGCUAUGCUGUUAUCAUUAUUCUUACUCUUCAAAUUUCUUUCAAAAGAUUUGGUUAAUGCUGUACUGACCUGUUACUUUUUCGUGCUUGGAAUUGUCGCGCUUUCGUAUGUUCUUUCCACCUGAUCUUUACUGAUUUAUAUUUUCAAAAUAUCUGAAGUAUUAUUUUCCUUCUAGUGUUUAUAUCAUUCUCAUGUUUUCAUUUUUUUCAGGGCAACACUAUUACCAGCUAUAAAACGUUAUUUGCCUAAGCAUUGGAAUGAUGAUGUCAUUUCCUGGCAUUUUCCUUAUUUCCGCUGUAUGUGAUGUUCUUGUGAAUCCUCUAGACAUUUCAAGUCCACUUAAAUGAUUCUGAAAAUUCAACUGGUUUCCAUCGUUAUUUUAUAACCACGGUUAUCAAAUACUACACUGCUGGGUUGCUUAUUUGUGGCAGCUUGGAAUUUCAACUGCAAAUAAAUGCUUCCUGACUCAAUACUGAAUUCCAGCAAAUUGUCCUUGCAUGCUGCUUUAUUCAUUUUUCAGAACAUGCUGCUUUAUUUUAUGCUUAUUUACUGAUUUUUAGCUUUCAGGGAAGGGAAUGCUCUUGUUAUCUUUUUUGAUAAGUAAAAUCACAGUUUAAUGGCUAUCUUUUUAUUUCUGUACAUGUGGAAAAAAAGGACGAGGAGAAAACAUCCUUUCUGUUCAUAGUGAGUGACAUUGUUUUGGAUCCCAAUCCCCGUGUCUUAAAAAUUGGAUUUUAACAAGUUAGUUGCUUGUACUUGCAUGAUUAUUUGGCCAUUAAAGUAACACGGUUCUUAGUGUCCUGGAGCUGUAAUUGCUACCUGUACUUUAGGUAUAUUGAUGACGAGUUGUUUUGGGAUUUUCUUGACCAGUUUAUACAUGGGUGCUUUGCAAGUUGUACAUGCUUGAUUAUCUGCAUGAUAAAGCAUUACUGGUCUUCUGCUCCCUUGAUUUUUCUUUUGAUUCAUAGGAUGUCUUCAUUGUAUCAUGCAAAAUGAUGUUUUUCCUUGUACCUUUCUUCCCCAGCUUUGGAGAUUGAGUUCACAAGAUCUCAAAUUGUUGCGGCAAUUCCUGGAACAUUCUUCUGUGCUUGGUAUGCUUCCCAGAAGCAUUGGCUUGCUAACAAUAUCCUGGGCUUGGCUUUCUGCAUUCAGGUCUGGCAUCAUUCAGUCAGUAGAUUUCUCAUUGUUGCUAAUGUCUCUUUUUGAAAAAAUUGUCUUCCUAUCCUUUUUUUUUAAUCUCCAAUUGCUUUGGAAGUUAUUUUAUGUUUUGUAGAAUAUCCCCUUGGAAAUUUCUUUCUUUUGCAUCAUAUCAAAAUGGGUACUGAAUAAAAUUAUUUAUAGUGUGCCUUAUUUGCUAUUGAAGGUUUCAACUUUCCAAUUAUAUAUCUUCUGGUCACCAUCUUGAAAUUGCUUAGAUCUUUGGGUAUGCUUGUUUCGUAAAUUUCAACCUUUUCCCCUGAAUACUUGAUAUAAUCUAAUAUAUAUCUAUUAAGGCAUUUCACCAAAUGCCGUCAUGCUAGCAGAAUUGUCCAAAUAGUAGGUGAAGCUUUUAAUAGCAGUCACAUCCAUGCUUGUACACACUAACACUUGCUAAGGGCUUAUGUAUAUGUACUACAAAAUUCCAAUGUCCCAUGGAAAUAGGAUUUUAUUGAGAUUAUUAUGUGUUUACUUAUGAUCUGUGAGAUAUUUUUCAGCAAAAGUACCUGUGAUUGAUAUAGUUAUUAAUUAUGGACUGCUUUUAAGCGAUUUGAUUUUGUGAUGCUUCUUUUGCAGGGGAUUGAAAUGCUUUCCCUUGGUUCUUUUAAGACUGGCGCCAUCCUCUUGGUUAGUUGUCUGAUUGUGGAGUUCACAUAUAUAUUUUCUGGAUAGCUAUUGGUCAUUCAUACAAUUACAAAUGUAGCUAGUUUGUUACAUUAGUCAACUUAACUUAUGUCUAUACGCAGCAUAAGUUACAGAAUGUAGAUAUUCUUUAAAUUUCAUAUGUUUCUUAAAUAUCUUUUCCUUGAGAAUUCAUUUCCUCAGAAUAAAGGUGCUUGCAUUUUCCUCGUGUGAUCUAAAGGAUAAGGCCCCCACUCUCAACAUUAAAUAGUGUCUCUCUAGUACAUCAAGAGACCAUAUCCUGGACUCUUAUCGUAUGAUCUUAUUUUGUACAAAAGUUUAAGUUAGUGUAGUAUUGGAUUAAGCGGUAGUGGGUGGUAAUAAACUUUACUUCUCUCACUCAUUAUGCCGUUACUUUGCAUACAAAAAAUAGAAGAUUUAAGAAGAUGCUUUAAACCCUAGAACCAUGGAUGCAUCUUUAGGUAUUAUCAUUUCUUACCAUACUAAUCAAUUUAUUUUGAUGAACAUAUGAUGUAAGGUAAGAAAAGAACAAUACCUAAGUUUGAAGAUCUAUAUGUGGUUUAUGAUUUGAAAACUUGCACUCAAAUCUUCUGAUGUUCUGUGAAGUAACGUUAUAGAGGGAAGGGAAGUUUGCUGUCCUUUUUUCUUGUUAUCCUUUUAUACGACAUAGUACCCCUAAAUUAGUGUAUGACUUAUGCCUCUUAAUGGGCCAAAGAAACCUUAUUUCAGGUGAGGGAAGUGCCAUUUUCCAUUAGAUUACUAUGACACAAUGCAUGACCCUUCCUAUUAAAUGUUGUGAAUGGUCAUGUGACUUUCCUUUUCCUUCAUUUUUCUUUUGAAAAGUCAAAUAUAGCAAUGAAUAAAAUGUUCAGAAUGGUUGAAUGCAUAAAAUUCCAAAAGUUGGAAAAUUUAACAUUUCUUGGUCCUCAACUCCUUGUCAUGAGUUUCAAAACAGAGGUUGAUUUUAUCAUUUAUCGCCAUAUUAUAUUGUAACUGUUCUUUUCAUUGAUGACACUAUGGUGGGUUUCUUGAUAUAUGAUUGCUGAAUUAGACCAAUGUGCAAGUGAAUCUGUUGCCUUAUGAAUUAGCUCCUGGUCAUUUUUUCCAUGCAAUUAGUAAUUCUUCUGAUAUUUGAUUCUUUUUAUACUGAUUUAUGGCAGGCUGGACUUUUUGUAUAUGACAUUUUCUGGGUUUUCUUCACUCCCGUUAUGGUUAGCGUUGCAAAAUCUUUUGAUGCUCCUAUAAAGGUUUGUUUUUUAGCUUAUUUGUCUUGCCUGAUAUCAAAAUUUCCUGUAAAAAUGGUGUUUGUUGAUAUUGAAGCUUUUGAUAUGAUUUGUUGCAGCAGUCUAAUUACAUGCCUAUUCUAUUCUUCUGUAGCUUUUGUUCCCCACAGCUGAUACGGCAAGACCAUUUUCCAUGCUUGGACUUGGUGACAUUGUGAUUCCUGGUAAGGUGUCGAGUUAUAUCAGCAUGCUAUUUGCUAUGAUGAUAAACAGCUGUUUUGGUCUCUAUGAUUAGUUGAAAAUUUUGUUCAUUGAAUUUCCUUUCCAUGUUAAAUAAUAAAAAUUUAGUGAAACAUAUGGUUGGUCUUCUAUUGGGUCUUUCCUUUGAAAGAAAUUGUAUUGAGUCUUUGAAGGAAACUGCAUAACUGAAAAAAUCCCUGUGCAGUAGCUACACAGAGAGUUUUGGAUAACUUUUUAUACCAGAUGCAUGUAUAAAGGCAGCCAAUAUUCUGAUUUUAGCAUCAGAAAGGUGAAGAACACGGCCAAAUAGGUUUUGUUUUGGUUACAAAAAUAGCUGCUAAUAGUAAGCACACUAUAGAGUGAUCAUCUACUUUUAGGUUCUUACAUUGGUUGUUUAUAUGUUUUUUCCCUUUCAGGUAUUUUUGUAGCUCUGGCACUGCGAUUUGAUGUGUCUAGAGGAAAAGAAAGCCAGUAUUUUAAGAGUGCUUUUCUUGGAUAUACAGCUGGUGUGGUCCUUACGAUUAUUGUCAUGAACUGGUUCCAAGCUGCCCAGGUGCCCUGACUUGAUCUUUUAUUUUGUUUUUCUUCUCCAUUUUAUGUGGUCAGGAUUAUAAUCCCUUAAUCACCGCCAUGCUUUUGUAUUGUUACUUCCAGCCUGCACUUUUGUAUAUUGUACCAGCUGCUAUAGGAUUCUUAGCCGCUCACGUCGUAUGGAAUGGUGAAGUCAAGCCGGUUUGUUCAUUACCCUCUAUGACCUUCUUUCUGUUGCUUGCAUUGACCAUCAUUCUAUUUUAUUUUAUUUUUUAAGAAAUUUCUUCACCUGCUAAUUCAUCUUAACAAUACUUUGUUGUCUGAUAUAGUAAUUUCUUUGGACAUCAUGUGCAGUUAAUGGAGUUUGACGAGUCCAAGACUGCUGCAUCAUCUCAAGAAGAUAGUGAAACCAGCUCUAGCAAAAAGGUGGAAUGAUCGGAAAAAACAUCAGAUGCUGAAACUCUUGUAGAGCCAGGGAAGAAAUAUGUUGGUUUUCAGUCAGGACACAAAAUCCUGUAGCUGUCAACCUUUUUGCUAACUUAUGCAAGCUGCACACCAGUGUAACAGAUUUUGGAAUUAAGCGAAAAAAAUUAAUAACAUCAUAUUUAUCCUCUUUACAGUAGGACCAUUUUAGACAUUUGCUCAUUUUAUUCGGUUCUUUAUGCCUCCAUGAUUUUACUUGAGAGGCCUUGAGAGGAAAGUCUUGCUUGCAAUUUGGCGGUGAUCGGCUUGACUCUCUGGGAUGAGCUGCUUGCUCUUCUGCCGUAGAGGUCUGACGGACCAAAUGGCUUAACCACUAGCUCAUUAAGUUAACCGGAUCAACAUAUUAACUCCAGUUUUUAUUUGAGUCAGCUGUUUUGUUUUUUAACCCAAACCAUUAAAGGUAUUAGUUUAACCUAUUAAGCUCGUACAAGUUUCAUAGCUAUAAUUUCAAUAUCCAUGGUUGAAAUGAAUACACGAGAGAGAAGGGUUCGCUUAGCUCAGCUAAAGAUGAAUGAAUAGGCAGCUAUGCCAUCAAAGGAGAUGUAUGGGUGACUCACCCAACCUUUGUCCGAGAAGUUCAUUCAACUUCCUCACAUGGUAAGACAUGUAAUAUACUCGUUAAAUACAUGAAUGUCUCCAGGGUUAUUUUUGUCUAAGGAGUAACGACCAUGAUGACUAUUUAUCUUUGCGUUUUAGAAGUGUUUUUGAAAAAAUUUAAAUUUUUUUUAUUUUUUUGUUUUAAAUUAAUAUUUUUUGAUGUUUUCAUAUCAUUUUGAUGUGCUGAUGUUAAAAAUAAUUUUUAAAAAAUAAAAAAUAUUAUUUUGAUGCAUUUUCAAAUAAAAAAUACUUUAAAAAACAAUCAUAACUACACUCUCAAAAACCCUUGAUGUCUGAUGUAUACUUAACAUCCUCCCAUCAAUGUUUGAGACAUUUAUCUCCUAAUCGAUUUAUGAAGUUAUUGAUGACAAAAUGAAUAGAUAAUUCUACCCUUCUCCCCCCACACAACUAGACAAAUUUUCAUGGCUAUAAAAAGGGGCAUGGGCUUUAGGGCUAGGGAUUUAUUAGGCCUGUUGGAGAACACUGCUAGGGAUUUUUAUUGGUAUGAAAAAUGUGAUAUAAAUUAUUUUUAAAAUAUUUUUUAUUUAAAAAUAUAUUAAAAUAAUAUUUUUUUUAUUUUAAAAAAUCUAUAUUUAAUACCAACGCAUUAAAAUAAUUUUAAAAUACUAAAAAAAAUUAAUUUAAAAUAAAAAAAAUCAAAAUAUUUUAAAAACACAAUUCAACCUUACUUUCAAACACAAGUAUUAUCUUAUUAUAUCACCGCAUCACAAUUUAUAGGGCUCAUAUUUGUUGUCUUUCCAAGCUCAUGAUUAUAUUUUUACAUAGUCAUUGAAGAGUCUCUGAUCUACUAGAGGGACUUGUUUUGCAAGUGUUUUAGUGAACCUAACUAUCAUUCAACCACCUCUUCAUCAUGCGUAAGCAUGAAGAACUAAAAACCGUAUUCUAAGUUUUGAAAUGCUUGUGAGCACAUGAUAUAAAAAUAUAAAAUAGCGUCUCUUUUAUAUUUACUAUGACAGAGAAUUUACAAAUUUAUAAAUAUGAAACACAAACACCCGUUGAUUUUUUAUUUUACCAUUUUUUUAUUAAAACAAUGUUAGUUUUACUUUAUGCACAAUAAAAAAAUAUGGCUGACCUCGGUAACUCCGAUCAUUCAACCCAACUCGUGACCCGAGACAUGGUAGAGGUCGACUCCCGGGCUAGGUUUUAAAAGCAUGAUACGAAAAUAGAUAUCAAAUAUGAUAUGAAAAUUCAAUGAAAUUAAACAUGAUGGAUUAAAUUGCCAAAAAACAAUCAAUCAAGAAGACAACUAAAAAAUAAAAGGAAUUGCAAUCAUAAAAAUGAGGAUGAAGAUCAAACUCAACACAAAAAAUAAUAAUCAAAUGAUUAGGGAUGAAAAUUGAAAAAUAAAUUUUAAUUAAAAAAGAUUAAAAUAAAAAAAAUAAGAAUUAAAUUUGAUAAGAAAAAACAUAAAAAAUCAAAUGAUUAGGGAUGAAAUUGAAAAACAAAAUUUAACUAGAAAAAAAAUUAAAAGCAAAAUAAAUAUGAAUCAAAAUAAUAAGAAUUAAAUUUGAUAAGAAAAAACAUAAAAAAUCAAAUGUUAGUGGAUGAAAUUGAAAAACAACUAAAUUAAUUUUAAUAAAAUUACAAGAUUGAAGACCAUUUUUUAAUUUUUUAAGGCCAAUACACUUUUUGAGAUGAAGACGAGCAAAAAUAGAGGGGGUUUGUUGUUGGAGCUUUGUCAUAUCCUUGUGGUUGAUAUGCAUCAUCCUAUCGUAUAAAGGGUGGCACGCUGCUUUGGAUGCCGUCAAUGAAAGAGACAGAUGAUCACUAGGAGGUGCCUAGCAUGUUAACUAAUUUUUUUUAUUUAUAAAAGAUUAUAAUAUUUUUGACCCUACACGAAUAAUUAAAAAAAAAUCUAAAAAUAGAAAAUACUUUUUUAUCUUAGGUAAGAAAAAGCUGACCCCAAAGGUUACGGGGUAAUCAAACUCUAUAAAAAUGUGAAAUUUCAAAAAAAUUCUUUAGAUAUUAGUUGUGUUUUUUUUUUCAAAUAUAUACGAGUAAUUAUAUUGUAAAAUAAAAAUAUGAAAAUAUAAAAUUAUCUCUGAGUGUUCGUUCACUUAUUUGGUUUUUUAUGGAAAGCAUCAAUUAUUUUACAAAGAAUUACACCGUGCACAAUCCACGACACUGAUGUCUUUUAAUUUUAUUUGUAAUUAUUCAGCAUUUCCAUGUUUAACCGGCAAAGGCAAGAGGAAUGUAGUACUAUCUCUAUUUUCACAAUUCAAAAGAAAUUUAAAAUUAGCUACCUCAUCAAUUUAUAAUCAACCAGUAAUUUUAAAAGGUGCUUAAGAGUAUAUUGAUAGGUAUUUUUUAAAAUAUUUUUUAUUUAAAAAUAUAUUAAAAUAAUAUAUAUAUUUAAAAAAAUUAUUUUUUACAAUAAUUUAAUAAAAUAAAAAUUAAUUUUAAACAAAUAAUUUUUUAAAAAACACUGUUAUAAAUAUAUUUCAAAACGUUUAUAAAAUAUUUUUUAUUUAAAAAUAUAUUUAAAAUAUAUUUUUUAAAAUUAUUUUUAAUAUUAACGUAUUAAAAUAAUUUAAAAAUAUAUAAAAAAUUAAAUUUAUGUAAAUAAAAAAAUAAAAACAAUUAAAUUCUUUUUAAAACACUGAAAAGAAAAAACCUAUUAACCCACUCUAUCCGGCCUACGAUUAAAGCACGCCUGGUAAGUAACAGAAGAAAAUAGGCAGUGCAGACAGGACAGGACAGGACAGGACAGGAGACUAGCGUGUUUUUAUUUUAUUUUAUUUUACUUUACUUUACGAAGGUUUGAUUUUCUGGGAAAUAAUAAAAGAUUGGGAGAAAUAAGAGACUGGGAAAAGGAAGAUAAACACGACAAUAAUUGAAUCGAACAAAAAAAUAUGUAAAAACAAAUUUAUUUAAUUUAAUUUUGAACGAAGAAUUUAAUCAAACGCUACUACAGAGAACAACAAUAAAUUAGAGGGAAAGAGUCAGCGAAUUCAAUUCCCUCUUUCUAUAAGUCUGCCUUUCCAUCUCCUACCAAAGCCACCCUUCUCUUUCUCUCUCAAAAAAUAUCAAAGAAGAAAUUGGAGUUCCACCCAAUCGAACCUUACCCAUUUUGCAUUUUCUCAUUUUGUUUGUGUUUUCUAACUUUAUUGGUCUAAUGGGGUUCUCUUUUUGAGUCAAUCAAAGCCACAGGAAGAGAGAAUCCCCUGAAAUUCAACAACCAUGGAAGGUAAAACUAAAAUAUACCUCUAUCUCACUCUCUUUUCCCCAAUCUUAUGAUCAUUUCAUGCACUUGUUGAAUUUUUAUUUUUCUUUUUUGUGGGUUAUUAGAAUUUUUCUUGCAUGGACAACAAGGGUUACGUGGGGAUCAGCAAGACAAACUAACUGUUAGAAUUUCCUUUAAGGAUGUUUUUGGUGUUUGAGGAAACUGGAAUUGUGUGUGAAAUGGGAUUUUGAUUUUGUCCCAGAUGAUGGAAACUAUGGCUAUAUGUAGUUGAACUUUUCUUUUUCAUUUAUGUUCCUAUUUUGGCUUGCAAACAAAACAUGUCGGCAAUUUUUUCAGGUGAAGCAAGAUGUUUUUCAUUGUUAAUUAUCACACAUCUGAAUUUUGUCAUUCCAGUAAAAAAAAUUCUCGGGAAUCUUAAGGUUGGAUGCUUGUAAUAAUGUGUGUUUCGUGUUCCGAAUGCUUCUGGGGUUUUGGAUGGAACGUAUGGCUCUUCAAAGAUAUUGUGAAAUAUUAACCUCGGUUUGCUGAUUGAGAAUUCCUUGAAUAAUUCUGUGAAAUUGGAAAAAUUUAUAUAGAAUCCAGCUGGGUUACUCUGUGAACACAGAAUGUGAGUGUGAGUUAUGAUUGUUCCGAAUGUAACGUGAGAGUUAUCUUGAAUCACAAUUGUUCUGAAAGUAAACCCGGUUUUGGCUAUCUUGUUAUGGCUUACAUCCAUGCAAUCAGGUGCUUGCUUUCACUGAACAAACAAAAGCAUAGUAAAUACCCUUCAAAGUACUCUGAAUAGGUCAUGAGAAAACAGUGGCAUUUUAUGUUUGCUUUGUUAGUUAAAGCCACAUGCGAUCUACUUCCUUUGCUUGGCCAAAUCCACUCUAGUCAAACUGGGAUUCAUCAUUCAACAUGAUUAACCCCAUUUAUCUGACCUUCUCCACAAAAUUGUGCAUUUAAUAUCCUUUCUGAUGAAAUAUUGCGAAUGUAGAUUUCUACAGCUUACUUGAGUAACUAACUCGGUUUUCCUGUGUUAAAUAGGUGUUGUCCCUUCCUCAGUUCAUACACCAUAGCAUGAUUUCUACAGCUUCUUUAUUUUUCUUUUGUACCUGAUAAUCCCUAUCCGUACAUCACUGUUUCAACUCAAUGGCUUGAUUUUCUAGAACAACCCUAGCAUCUAUAGGGAAACUUAUACGUGCCAUUUGGUGUCUUUACUCUUUACUUGUAUAUGUUCAUUUUUUAUUUUGUCUUGUAAAAAAAAUAAUCAAUGUUCAGAAUCAAGUGAAGUGCAUUUUGGAGAGAAUAGAGUUUCUCCAGAGAAGAAUUUGAAAAGGACAGUCAAGACACCAGCCCAGGUUGUCGCUUUGGAGAACUUUUAUAAUGGUACUAUUGCUUCUCUCACAAAAUUUAUUUAACCCACUGAUGUUAGUCAUUAUGUUCUUGAAGUGAUUUUUUUGCUUUUUCACAGAGCACAAAUAUCCCACAGAGGAAAUGAAAUCAGAACUUGCAGACCAAAUAGGGUUGACAGAAAAGCAAAUAUCUAGCUGGUUUUGCCACAGAAGGCUAAAAGACAAAAGAUUGAGAGAUGAAGUAUGCACUAAUGGACGACAAGAUCGAUCUAGCGGUAUUAUUCAGGAUCGAGGGAGUGGGUUGAGGCAAGAUUCAUGUGGCAGUACCAAACAAGGUGAUUAUAGGAAUCUUGAUCCAAGGGAAGUUGAGAGCCAGAGACUUUAUGGUCGAGAUUUUCAUCCUGCUGAUCUAACCUAUGACCGCACGAGUCGCUAUACAGGGAAUGUUACCGGCAUUGAUAAUAUAUCUUCAGGAAGUAGCUCAUCGUUGCAAGAUAAGUUUGUUUGUCAAAGAGAGGAUCCUUAUGACGCAGAAACCUCAAAGUACCUAGCACAGAAUGGAGCUGCCAUGCCAUUAAUUCCCAAGGGUACUGAUAGUUUUGGGUAUAAACCAUCAGGAUAUUUGAAAGUGAAGGGUGAAAUUGAGAAUGCUGCUAUUACUGCUGUCAAGAUGCAAUUGGGCAGGCAUUAUAAGGAGGAUGGUCCACCACUAGGUGUUGAAUUCCAGCCACUUCCUCCUGGUGCUUUUGCAUCCCCAAGUAGAGAUCCAGUCAGUGGUAAGUUCUAAUAACCUCCUUCCAAGGAAUUCCAUGCAAUUUCUGCAGGCAGAAGGAGAUGUCAAAUAAAUUUUGCUUUUCUAGUUUAUAUUCUUUUCAAGUUUUCUCUGAUUCUCAAUGUCUUACUUAGAGGAAGGUGUUGUGAUGAGAAAAUGGGAAUUCUUUUGAUUCCAUUUGUAUGAUUUGAUGGGUUCAGUUGCAGAUAAGAUACCUCUUACUUUUUUAAAUACAGCGUUACUUACUUCAGUAGCAUUUGCAUUAAAUAUAAAUUUCUGAUGCGUGCUAAUUGCCCAUUUGUUUCUGUACCUACUUAGACUUGCAAUAUACAUUAUACAUUCUUCAUUGGAAAUGGCUUGCCAGGACAAUUACGUUUGAUGCUGGGUGCUGUAGUUUAUCUUUUGGUUUCCUCUUGAUACCCACUUUCUGCAACUGCUAGAGGAAGCUUUGAGUCCUCACUUCACUCACAUUGUUGGCAUAUACUUCAGUAUAAUUUGAUAACAAUACUCCUUUUUCUUAGUUAUAAGUAUGUACACUUGAGUCUUGUUCACUUUUAUAUGCUGUUUCUUGCCAACCAUUUUUCCAGGACCAAUCUAUGUGGGAGAUCUUGCUCAGAUGUGUUCUCCUGAUGUUUCUGGGGUUCGAAAGCAAUCCAGUCUUGGCGCUGUGAGUAGAUCUUCCAAUACAUUUUGUUGGCCUUAGAGUCUAGCAACAUAUUGAUAUUAUGUUAUGCACACUCAUUUAUCACAUUAAUCAUUACAGAAAUGAGGGUUAGAUUUUUUUACCAGUUGCUUUGUCCAAUGUAGUGGGAUUGAUAGAAUGGAGAAUUAGUUGAGUUGAGUUAUAUGGUGCAAACAAAAUGGUUGGCAGUCACUUUUGACAGAUAAAAGCUAAUUAGGCUGCAAUUAGUUUUACAUAUUGAAAUCUGGAAUAGGUUUCAUUUGUAAUUUUAUGCUGAACUUGAUUCUGGAAUUGGAGAACUAUGACAAUUAUAGUAUGAUGGUUGGUAUAAAUUAGUUUGAGGCUCAAGUUCUGCUGGUCCAUGCUGGAAACCUUUAUAUCCUCCAGCUCUCCAUCACUUCCAAUGAUGUCUGCCAUCCCAUGUUUAUCACCACUGUGACUUUCACUUUACUUUUAUUGCCAAUAUACCACCAAUCAUGCACCGGCACCACCAGCAAUUAUGCUCACAACAUGUUUCCUUCCUCAUUUCGGUAUGUUCCAAAGAAAGGUUCAGUUAGACCUGAAAAUGUUAUGGAACAGGGUAUUUUUUUAUAUGAUUCCUCAGACUCCAUUCCACCAUCUUCCAUAUCUUGUACUUCAAAUGAGUCCCUAUAUAUACUCGGAGUGGUGAAGUUAUAAUAGUUUUUCUGAAGCUCUGAUGAGAGCUCAUAGUCACACCUCCAUCAGUGCUUUCAUGGAAUCACAUGGUGCUUGAAUUGCAUCUGAAAUGGAAUGCUAGUAUUUUUCUUACCUCUUUGAUACAUGAUUUCUUAUUAUACUUGUUUGAUACCCUUGCAGAGAUAUGAAGUAUAUAGCACCAAGAUGAGUUCUCAUGAUUCAUAUACAGAGGGAGCAAAUUGUAAUCCCGAGCCCUCUGAUUCUCAUGAUAGAAAAUCUCAUCACCAUCUAGAACAGAAGCCUACCUAUAAUGGUUCCAAUUCUAAUGCUGGUGGGAACUCUGCCAUGGAUAUGCUCGAUGAUCUUGCUGGUGAAACAUCAGCCUAUGUAAACAAAAGACAUUAUAGGAUGAGCUCUAAGCAUGGUUUUGAGGGGACAAGAUCGGAUUCUCUUUCAACCCAUCUUGGUCCCAGUGGUAGGAGAGUUAAUAGUGAAAAGACAGAAGCUUGGUUGCAUGACUGUGAUAAUGACAAUCCUAAGAUAGUUCAAAGGAAUAAUUACACGUCUAAGCAUCCGCACUUGAUGCGUGGAUCUGGAAAAUCUCUUGAUACAGAGGAGAGAGCACGGUGUACGAUCAUGGAAAAGGUUCUCUUAUUACUUUACAUCUUUCUGCUUGUGGUAUUGUAGAACAGAUCCAUGCUAACAUAUUUAGCUUAAUAUCAAGUUGUACAUUGGGUAUAUGUAGGAGGACAAACUUCAUGGAGAAAUGAAAAGAAUGAAAGGCUCUCACGACCCAGUUAGAGUAAAGAGGCAUCCAACGGAUGAAACAACUGUGAGUUUAUGAUGUGAUCACUUAUGGGAAUAUUUUGAAUGAAUCCUGCAUAUGUUGUAUGCACAUUCAUCAAUAUACAUCUAAAUCACACUUUACUCUUUGUAUAUGUACAUUGAUUUUGAUACCUCCUCCUUUUUGGCUUAAUAUUGAAGGUUGCAAAAAGAUUCAGAGUUGACUUUCCACAGCAAGAACAUGUGGCAAAAGCAUCGUUUUCUGAAAUACGUCGAAGGACAAAUCUGACUAAACGGUUGGUAAACGCUUCUAUAUGCAACAAUAAUUUUAUUUAAUCUUUUUUUUUUGUGCACUCUUAUUUAUGUUCUCAGUGUAGCGUGGUGUGUAUAUGUUGUGCGUGUUUUUUCAAAUUUGAUGGACUUCAUAUCUUUAAUGAAUCUGUGAAUUUCCACAAAAGAGAAUUAUAAGACAGUAUCCAUGUCUGAUGAUGCAUUUAGCUUAGCAAAUUUUUAAUUUCCAAAGUAAGUUGUUUUAUUUCGAUUGAAAGAAAUAACUGUGUAGAUGGUUAGUGUAGUUUUACAUCACUAAUUCUACUCUGACACAGUUGUGGUGGUUCGUAAUUUUUUUUUGUUUCUCCUUUCAAGUGAACUGGCAUGAGUACCUCUAGUUGUCAUGAUGGCUAGCACAGAUAGGAAACUUUCAACCGCUAUUUAAAACUAUUUCAGGGUCCAUGGCCCCGCAAAGCCUUUUUUCUGAAGAGUUGGGUGAAAAGAGAGGAGGGAGAAGUGACAGGCAGAUUGCUUUUUAAUUAUGCAUCAAUAUAGUAGCAAUUAUCUAUCAAGCAUAUAUAGAAGUGCAUUAGAAUCCAGAGAACAUGGCCACGGGCAUUGCUUUCACUGAAGUUGUAGGAGCAUUGGAUGUGCCAAUAGACAUUGGGAGGUUAUAUGCAUCUGAAACAAAUCGAUGCUCACAGACUUGUCAUGAAUACUUGUUUGAAUAAUUUUUUUGUGAAAAACAUUGGUUAAGCUUGUUUUCACGAAUAACUUGGCUGGUUGUUAAAUAAGAUAUAAGCCGCCUCUUGUAAGAUGCAGAAUGUUAACCCUCUGAUCGUGAGACUUCACACUGUUCUCCUGUCACAUCAAGGCUAAUUAUGUUCGGUGUGAAGUUCAAAGUUCAGGAAAUGCUAGGUGUCCAAGCUUGUAAAGGAGGAUGCCGUAUGCCCAUGUUUGGUCGAGAUGCUGACUUGUUAAUUGACAUUGUUUUCAGUUUUCAUAGAUAUUUGUGUUCCAAACCCUAUAAACAUGUAGCUCUGUUUCAUUUAGAUGAUUAAUUGUCAAAAUAUUUCUGUGCUUCCUGCACUGCCAACAUGGUGUUAUUUUCCUUUUUUGAAUCUUGUCCUCAAAUUUUCAAUCAAUGCUAAAAAUUCUGUUGACAUUCUUCAUGUUUCGUGUCUACUGCAGGUCUGCCAUGGAGAGGCCAUCUAGUUUCAGCGAGGAUGAAACUCCAGAAACCAGUUCUUCGGCAGAAUGAGGAACUGACAAAUAAUGGAUUCAGAUGGUAUAAUGGUUCGUGAGAUCACCUCUCAAAAAGACAGCGAUUACCCAUUCACCUGAUGAAGAUUGUACAAGGCUGUACAGUUUGAGAGAAUGUAUUUCUUUUGUUAGUGAUGCUCCUUUGCUACGUGGAAAGAAGUUUAGUUCAUCGUGGCAGCCAAUUGCUUUUGCCCUUGAUGUCGUCAAGUGUGUACUUUGUAGUUUGUACAAAUUUUGUCCUCGAUGUUCAAAUUCUUUCUGGAGAUAUUCUUGAUUUCUGAUUGUAAAUCAGAUUAGGCAGGGUCCCUUUAGCAAUGGUAGUCCAGACAAUGUUGAUGACUUCAUGCGACAGCACAGCAUGCCCGUAGUGUUUUUUGUAAAGGCAAAUGAUAGCAAGACUGCUAUAAAGCUGUUUUCUAGUUUCUAUCAAUCAUGCAUGACAUGACCCUUUUUUUCCCCUAAUGAAAUGUGAAACCUCAUUGAUAUCUUGUUUUCUCCUGAACUUGAAAGAUAAAAUUCACAUAACAGAGAAGGUGGGAAAGGAAUUCGCUAGCUAGAUGUCACCUUUAGGUUGUAGCGAACAUUUCAUAUUAAUAUUUUGCUCUCCAGUUCUUGCUUUGUUAUUUUAGGAGAGGAUUCAAAUAUCAGAGAAAAAGAGUUAAGAAUAUCAUGGAACACGAAUAUAUUAUGCUAACUAGGAAAAAAUCAUUUAAAAGAUCACUCGCAUAAAAAAAUAUAUUCUGGAAGCUCUAUACAUCAUAUUUCCAUCUGGAAUCUGCACAAAGGACAAGUUUUCUUCUUUCUCAAGCACUUGUAAUUAAAUGCAAGAACAAUGAAAUUCAUGCAUGCAUUCCAUGACCCUAGCUUCCUCUCCAAUCUCCAGCUCUUCUUGACAAACCCCACCUCCAUCAAUCACCAAAUUCUUCAAUCCAGCAAGCACCGGAUCAAUAGUUUUCGCCGAAAUGAUCCCCGCAAGCUGAACCCUAACCUGUAGCACUUGCACGCUUCAUUGCUAGCUGCUGUGUUCUUGUCUCUAACUUUGCAAAUUGUAGUUCCUCUUCGUCAAGCUUUCCAUUGUGACCUCUAGGGUCAUAAGAGCCAUCGAAUGUAGAGUAAUAGCCCCAGUUGCUCGCCCUGUUAAGAACCUCAGCUUCUGCUAUGGCAAUUUGAAGCUCCUCCAUUGUACUAGCUAGUAAUUAAUCAGUGUCAAAACCUUCAAUAUAUAUAUAUAUAUUCUCUCCAAAAAGAAGAGCACCACAAAGCAAGAAAGUAGACGGGAAAAGAGAGAGAGAGAGAGAGAGAAAGAUACCGUCAUAUACAUGUUCUUGGAACGUGGUGUUACGCUUCCUAAUUUGGGAAUCGGUGCAUGCAUCUCUCCUCUUCUACUGUGUUUAGUUAAUAAAAUAGUAUUUUAAAUAUGUAAAUAUAACUUCUUUUUUUUAUCAUAUAUAUUUCAAUAAAAAAACUAAUUAAAAAAUCAAUUAUGUUAAAGUGAAAUAAAUAAGUGUUUUAUUUUUUUUAAAAUAAUUUUAAUGUUAUUUUUUUUACAUGGCUAUAUUUAAUUGACUUAUUUUUUUUGUUGGCUCCACUUUGUUAGUUUUGGCUAUUUUAAGAGAUAUACAGGAAUAACACUUAUGGAAAAGAAAAGACAUUUUAGUAUUUUAUUUAGCUUUCUCCUUGAAGUAUGAAAAACAAGUAAAGAAAAAUUAAAAUAUUACUUUUUUUAUUUUUGGUUAUCCAUUUAGUAGUUCCUUUGAAAAUGCUCUUAGUACGAGCCCAAAAAUAAAGUUGGAAACGGCGGAUUGCUAGCUAUAUAUAGAAAUAUCAAAUUACGAUAUAAAAAUUAAAUUAAUAAAUCACAUAUAAUUAAUAGACUCAAAUCCAAUUCUUAUAUGACCAAAAAACAAACUAGAAAUCAAAUUAAAUCACAUGUAUAAAUCAAAUGGCACAUUGGAAAUUCAUCAUGAUAGAUCUUAUAGUAUGAAUCCUUCGAUAAGAACCUAGAAACCAAACUAUUUCGGCCAUGUUGGUAUAAUGUAUGUGAUUAGCACCAUUCAGGAUUCCUUUGUGAAUGUGGAGGGUGCUGUGUUUUCCAUUUUUAUGCACCAUGCAUGGUGCCACAAAGAAUAGAAAAGGUGUGCUUGUAACACAAUUUUGCGCCCUCAGCAGUCAGCACAAAAUGGAUGCAUUAUCAUUAGGAAACGAAAGGCGUGGUGGACCUUGUCCGAAAAACACGACUCAAAACUCACACUAACAUCAUCUUGAAACCUAGUGAAUGAUGCAUUGAUUCAUGGGAGCAUGAACGUCAAGGCCCAGCAUGUCUUCAUGAUCUUUUCUGGGCUUCGAGUGUUCCAAAACUGUAAAGGCCAUCCAGAAACCUCAAAUUGAAACUUAAUUAAUCCUCUAGUGUCCAAAGUCCAUAUAUAUUUUUUCUAAUUCUAACUGAAAAAACCAUUCAUUUCAUUCACACUCGCAAGUCUUUCUUGAUACAGCAGUAUGGUUUAAACCAAGGAGCCGUCUUCGUUUACUUGCUGUCCUCACCAUUUCUGCUACGAUUAUAUAUAUUAGCUAUUAAGGUAGGGCUUGCUUACAAAGUUCGUUCAUGUUCAAAUAGGGUUAAGUGGUUAUAUUGUUAAUUCACCGAAAAAGGUCCUACUUGUGACUUUAAUUUCUUGAAAAAAUCACACCAACUUCAAGCAAGAAGAGAGAAUGGAAAUUCUAGCAUCAAAAUUCUACUGUAUCACAUCCACCUAUUAAUGCUAGAAUUUCCUUCUUCCUUUUUUUUUUCUUCACAUAAAGUUGGUUAUCUAAGCCCAUAUUUGGCUGUUUUUUAUUUUUCCAGCAAGGCACGUUGCCUGAACCUGAUGAUGUUCUGAUCCUCUCACGAUCAUGCCAUUGUUAGCACAUGAUUAAAUGUUAGAAAUGGUUUAACUUCACCAAAGGAAAUCCUCUGAGAAGUAAAUUAAUCCUUGUUAUGGGUCAUAGUUCCUGUUGGCCAAAAAGAUGAACCUAAUCAAUGAGAGCCUAUACCACACGGUUCCUUGAAAAGAUUUUACAUCAUGCGUGUGCCUGCUUCUCUAGACCAGAUAGGCAUGCACAUUCAAUAAUUUUGAAGGAGUCCUUAUCAUUUACAGAAGAAAGUCACUGUAUCUAUAUUUGACCAAUUGAGCAAUAAAAGAAGAAAGGCUAAAGUGAAAAAUAUUGUGGAUUUCAACUCGGAGAAGCAGUAGGGGUUGUUCUCUCUAAAAUUGAUGUUAUAUUAUACGUUGACACCUGAACUUUUAAGAGUUGGUUUUAAAGUUUGAGUUCGUAUAUGAACUUCAGCCUUCGAUUUGAGGUUCGACAGGGCACUAUUUGGAGCAAUGAAUGAGGCCAGGGCUUGGUGAUGUAAAUGCUCUCUGGUUCAACCUCUCAUUGAAUCUAAUAAGAACAAUAAGUAACUAAUAACACAGAAUCUCUCCGUAGAGGAAUCACUCCAAUUUAUGUUUAAAGAAAAGCAAUUGCCAAGAACACAAAACUGCCUAUAUUUUGUUCUGUUCUCCUCUUAAAUACCCUCCAGCUAAGGAAAUACCAUCUAAUAUGUAAUUAAGACCAGAUACUAAUUUGACUAGGAAACUACCAGCUAACUAGGAUAAAAUAACUAACAGCUAAUAAACUUAUAACAGCAAAUACUAAUUUGACUAGGAAACUAAUAGCUAACUAGGAUAAUAAUAACUAACAGCUAAUAAGCUUAUAACAGCUUUCAAGAUUCUUUGUAUCCCACACGUCUACUUUGUCCAGUAGACUUCGUGAAUUAAAGGGUGCCUUCCUCUGUCUCCUGAUUUGAAUCACUUGGUCUCUUCGAGUGUUUUACGUGGUUGUUGGGUUCGUGCUGAUAAGCACAUCAUCUCCCACGAAGGUAGGACCAAUAUGGAGGCAGAAGAAAGAAAGGGGACCAGAAAUUUCUCUGACUUGUGUGGCUAAUGGCUGCUUUUCUCAAAAGUGCAGCCACUGUCAUGUUGGUCCCGAUCAACAGGGUUUGGAAAGAGAAAGGGGCUGUAGUUAGGGGCAUUAUGGACGUAUCCGUGGAAGUUCAAGCCACUUUGCACAUGCUCUUUAACCAGCAGGGAAUGGAAUACUUCUUUUUUCUUGUGCUGCUCACAUUUGUCAAAUUCCAAGUUGAACUGGGUCAUCUCUGCAUGCUCAACCACUCCAUUUUUCACUUUUUUCCAGAUAAUGUCAGGACACUUGGAUCUCUACCUGGAAUUUAGUGUAAACAUUGUCAGAGUGUUGCUAAAAUUUAUGCUUCAUGUGUUUGAUCAAGCCAGAUCCUAAAUUCUAAGACAUUUGUCGCAAUAUUGUGUUUUCUAGUGGUACAUGGGUUUUUUAUAUUGGAUGUUUAGAGAUUUUUUUUUUAAAAAAAAAACUAGCUUUCCCGUUAAUUGAUAGUUCGAGGCUAAACUUCCUUUUCAGACAACCUUAGAGUCACUCUUUUUUAUAUUAUAUUGAUAUGAUGGUCUAUUCAAAUUAUUAGUUUUAAGAUUUAAAUGUAUAAUAUUUCAAAAUAAAUUUCAUCUCCUUAACUAUAAAAUAAAAAUAAUUCCCUUCAGGCUUCAGGCUUCAGGCUUCAGGCAGGUUCAUGAUGAUUCUCUUAUAUAAAGUAAAAAAUGGCUUACGUUCAUUUAAGUAGAUUGAUGCCACGUGCCUGGGAUCAGCUAGUUGAUUGGUUUUCAAGACAGGCUUAUGUAAGUCAAUGGCCGGAGAGAGAAAUUGCUUAUUAGAGUCUUAAUUCUUGUUAUUUCGUGCUAGGUUCUUCGUUUGUCAUUUAUUGUUAGGUCUGUUUGUUAAAGUAGUUUUUUAGAAAUUAUUUUUUAAAUUUUAAUAUGUCCGUUUAUUAUUAGAAAAAUUAGUGAAUGAAAAAUAUAUUUUAGUUAAAGAAAAAUUUAGUUUGGUUUUCAGGAAAGUGUUUUUUUUUUAUUUUGAACGGAAAAUACUUUUCAGAAGUAUAUCAUAUUAUUUGUUGAUUAUAUCAAAUUUGUUCUAAAAUAAUCGAACCAAACCGAAACCGGUUGGUUUGAACCAGUUCCGGUUCGGUUUCGGUUUUUUUAAAAUGGUUUGAUUACUUUUUUUUGAU
rnacentral:lncRNA from 1 species